rnacentral:rRNA from 1 species
AUUGAACGCUGGCGGCAUGCUUUACACAUGCCAGUCGAGCGGCAGCGCGGGCUUCGGCCUGGCGGCGAGUGGCGAACGGGUGAGUAAUACAUCGGAACGUGCCCAGUAGUGGGGGAUAGCUCGGCGAAAGCCGGAUUAAUACCGCAUACGACCUGAGGGUGAAAGCGGGGGAUCUUCGGACCUCGCGCUAUUGGAGCGGCCGAUGGCAGAUUAGCUAGUUGGUGGGGUAAAGGCCUACCAAGGCGACGAUCUGUAGCUGGUCUGAGAGGACGACCAGCCACACUGGGACUGAGACACGGCCCAGACUCCUACGGGAGGCAGCAGUGGGGAAUUUUGGACAAUGGGCGAAAGCCUGAUCCAGCAAUGCCGCGUGUGUGAUGAAGGCCUUCGGGUUGUAAAGCACUUUUGGCGGGAACGAAAAGGACUGUGCCAAUACCACGGUUCGAUGACGGUACCCGCAGAAUAAGCACCGGCUAACUACGUG